UCUACUCACCGAUGGGCCUGCAUGCCACGUCUCUGGGGGCCACUGCUGCUCCAAGAUCCUGUACAACUUAGCCUGGAACCACAAGGGACCAGUUACCAUGUGGGCCACGGGGAGGCGUGUACGAGGUCUUGGCAGUGGAGAGGCUAUGUACCGGUGGAGGAGGCUUACACACUCGGCUCCUCUUUCUGCCCCUGAAAACAAAGGGCUGUCCGGUGGCAGUA